rnacentral:rRNA from 1 species
GAUGAACGCUGGCGGCGUGCCUAAUACAUGCAAGUCGAGCGAACGGACGAGAAGCUUGCUUCUCUGAUGUUAGCGGCGGACGGGUGAGUAACACGUGGAUAACCUACCUAUAAGACUGGGAUAACUUCGGGAAACCGGAGCUAAUACCGGAUAAUCUUUUGAACCGCAUGGUUCAAAAGUGAAAGACGGUCUUGCUGUCACUUAUCGAUGGAUCCGCGCUGCAUUAGCUAGUUGUUAAGGUAACGGCUUACCAAGGCAACGAUGCAUAGCCGACCUGAGAGGGUGAUCGGCCACACUGGAACUGAGACACGGUCCAGACUCCUACGGGAGGCAGCAGUAGGGAAUCUUCCGCAAUGGGCGAAAGCCUGACGGAGCAACGCCGCGUGAGUGAUGAAGGUCUUCGGAUCGUAAAACUCUGUUAUUAGGGAAGAACAGAUGUGUAAGUAACUGUGCACAUCUUGACGGUACCUAAUCAGAAAGCCACGGCUAACUACGUG